GCACUGGUGGCUCAGUGGUAGAGUUCUCACCUCUCAUGUGGGAGACCUGGGUUUGAUUCCCAGCCGGUGCA
rfam:Loxodonta africana unplaced genomic scaffold scaffold_35, whole genome shotgun sequence.